rnacentral:rRNA from 1 species
UCCAGACUCCUACGGGAGGCAGCAGUGGGGAAUAUUGCACAAUGGGGGAAACCCUGAUGCAGCGACGCCGCGUGAGUGAGGAAGUAUUUCGGUAUGUAAAGCUCUAUCAGCAGGGAAGAAAAUGACGGUACCUGACUAAGAAGCCCCGGCUAACUACGUGCCAGCAGCCGCGGUAAUACGUAGGGGGCAAGCGUUAUCCGGAUUUACUGGGUGUAAAGGGCGUGUAGGCGGGACUGCAAGUCAGAUGUGAAACCCAUGGGCUCAACCCAUGGCCUGCAUUUGAAACUGUAGUUCUUGAGUGAUGGAGAGGCAGGCGGAAUUCCGUGUGUAGCGGUGAAAUGCGUAGAUAUCAGGAGGAACACCGGCGGCGAAGGCGGCCUGCUGGACCGUGACUGACGUUGAGGCUCGAGAGCGUGGGGAGCAAACAGGAUUAGAUACCCCUGUAAA